rnacentral:rRNA from 1 species
UACGUAGGGGGGCGAGCGUUGUCCGGAUUUAUUGGGCGUAAAGAGCGUGUAGGCGCCAGGUAGGUCUGCUGUGAAAACUCGAGGCUUAACCUCGAGAUGUCGGCGGAAACCAUCUGGCUAGAGUCCGGAAGAGGAGAGUGGAAUUCCUGGUGUAGCGGUGAAAUGCGCAGAUAUCAGGAAGAACACCCGUGGCGAAGGCGGCUCUCUGGGACGGUACUGACGCUGAGACGCGAAAGCGUGGGGAGCGAACAGG